CCACCUUGGGUGUGGGUGGCAUAUUGAGUUGUGGUCUCAAAGGAGCCGCGCAGGCGGUAGGGUGGA
rnacentral:tRNA from 1 species